GUGGGGAAUAUUGGGCAAUGGGGGAAACCCUGACCCAGCAACGCCGCGUGAAGGAAGAAGGUUUUCGGAUUGUAAACUUCUGUCCUUGGUGAAGAGAAGAAGACGGUAGCCAAGGAGGAAGCCCCGGCUAACUACGUGCCAGCAGCCGCGGUAAUACGUAGGGGGCAAGCGUUGUCCGGAAUGAUUGGGCGUAAAGGGCGCGUAGGCGGCUUUAUAAGUCUGGAGUGAAAGUCCUCUUUUCAAGGGAGGAAUUGCUUUGGAAACUAUAGAGCUUGAGUGCAGGAGAGGUUAUCGGAAUUCCCGGUGUAGCGGUGAAAUGCGUAGAUAUCGGGAGGAACAUCGGUGGCGAAGGCGGGUAACUGGACUGCAACUGACGCUGAGGCGCGAAAGUGUGGGGAGCAAACAGGAUUAGAAACCCCAGUAGUCC
rnacentral:rRNA from 1 species